UACGUAGGUGGCAAGCGUUGUCCGGAUUUACUGGGCGUAAAGGGCGUGCAGGCGGUCUGUUAAGUGCAGGGUGAAAGCUCCCGGCUCAACUGGGAGAGGUCCUUGCAUACUGGCGGACUUGAGGGGGGUAGAGGAAAGUGGAAUUCCCGGUGUAGUGGUGAUAUGCGUAGAUAUCAAGCGGAACACCGGUGGCGAAGGCGGCCUUCUGGACAGUGACUGACGCUGAGACGCGAAAGCGUGGGGAGCAAACAGG
rnacentral:rRNA from 1 species